rnacentral:rRNA from 1 species
GACGAACGCUGGCGGCGUGCUUAACACAUGCAAGUCGAACGAAGUGGCGAACGGGUGAGUAAAGCGUAAUCAACCUGCCCUUCAGAGGGGGACAACAGUUGGAAACGACUGCUAAUACCGCAUACUGAAGGAGGGGAUUGAGUCUGAUUAGCUGGUUGGAGGGGUAACUGCCAACCAAGGCGAUGAUCAGUAUGCGGUCUGGGAGGAUGAACGGCCAAAUUGGGGAUGGGACACGGCCCAGACUCCUACGGGAGGCAGCAGUGGGGAAUCUUCCGCAAUGGACGAAAGUCUGACGGAGCAACUCCGCGUGAGUGAUGACGGCCUUCGGGUUGUAAAGCUCUUUUAAUCGGGACGCGGUACCGGAAUAGAAAGCCACGGCUAACUACGUGCCAGCAGCCGCGGUAAUAC